GGCCUAUUGAGUAUAAUUUUAGGUCGAUCUGCUCCAUGAAAUAAAUUUAAAUAGCUGCAGUAUAUUGACUGUACAAAGGUAGCAUAAUAAAUUGUCUUUUAAUUGAAGAAUUGAAUGAAUGAAUUGAUGAAAUAACAACUGUCUCUAUUUUAUUUAAUGAAUUUAAAUUUUUAGUAAAAAUUCUGAAAUUUAAUUAUGGGACGAUAAGACCCUAUAGAAUUUCAUUUAAUAUAAUUAUUUAUUUAAAUUAUUUGUGAAUAUAUAAUUAAUUUAAAUUUGAUUGGGAGGAUUGGUAAAUAAAAAUAACUUUAUCUAAAAAUUAAUUUUGAUGAAAAGAUUUUUUUUGACUUAUAAUUUAUGAUUAAAAGAAUAAAUUACCUUAGGGAUAACAGCGUAAUAUCUUUUGAUAGACCACAUUGAUAAAGAUGUUUGCGACCUCGAUGUUGAAUUAAGAGAAAAGUUAAACGCAGGAGUUUAAAAUUUUAAGUCUGUUCGACUUUUAAAAUCUU
rnacentral:rRNA from 1 species